rnacentral:sRNA from 1 species
AGCUGAUCGCGAGAUCAGUCGAUAGACCAAGGGACCUUAGGUCGGACUCUUGGAAUAUCUCCUCAUCAGGCUAAUCACGGUUUUUGACCCGGCUCUUUGGCCGGGUCUUUUUUUU